AGCUUUGCGCAGUGGCAGUAUAGUAGCCAAUGAGGCUUAUCCAAGGCGCGUUUAUUGCUAAUUGAAAACUUAAAAUAUGGAGAGAACCCCUGGGUAUUUACUAUACAGUUAGAUUAAC
ensembl:snRNA Gm26254 predicted gene, 26254